UGUCAACUUAUUCGGGAUUACAGUGUGGAGUCUGCAGAGCAACAUUUUUUGUUGGGUUUCGUGUGCACUAUUAUGUCUUCACCGAUCAUCCAGAGCAGGUUCCUGAUGUGAAACUGGGUGGAGAACGUAAACUGACGGUGAUGACAGUCAAUAGUUCGAGCAGAUGGCAGGAGAUGAGUUUGGGCAGGAUGAAAAGGCUGGAGAUGCUGAUUGAGAGUGGACUGGUCAAUGAUGCUGACUAUCUUUUCAGUCUUGAUGUGGAUACAAAGUUCUACGGCCGCUGGGGAGCAGAGUCUUUGGGUGAUCUUAUAGGUGUGAUACAUGCAUGGUAUUAUUAUACACCUCGUGAGCAAUUCCCAUAUGAGAGAAGGCCUGAGUCUCAAGCGUUUGUCCCUUUUUCUGAGGAUAAUUAUUAUUAGGGUGGAGCUGUGCUUGGUGGUUCAGUGAAGCAAGUAUAUCAGCUUGCUAAAACCUGUCGAGAGCAGCUGGACAUUGAUGCAGCUAAAUCCAUUGAGACAGCAUGGCAGGAGGAGUCCCAUUUGAACAAGUACUUCCUUUAUAACAAACCCAGUAAACUGCUUUCACCUGAAUAUUCUUGGGAUAAAACAAAGACUAAACAAGACCAGAUCAAAGUCAUUCGCUACUCUCAUAUUCCUAAAAACUAUGCUGAAGUUCGUCCAAACAAAUAGAAGCUGUUAUAGAGAGAGAUGCAAAAAUGGGGUGUGAAGUAUGUGC